rnacentral:rRNA from 1 species
AUUGGGCGUAAAGGGCUCGCAGGCGGUUUCUUAAGUCUGAUGUGAAAGCCCCCGGCUCAACCGGGGAGGGUCAUUGGAAACUGGGGAACUUGAGUGCAGAAGAGGAGAGUGGAAUUCCACGUGUAGCGGUGAAAUGCGUAGAGAUGUGGAGGAACACCAGUGGCGAAGGCGACUCUCUGGUCUGUAACUGACGCUGAGGAGCGAAARCGUGGGGAGCGAACAGGAUUAGAUACCCUGGUAGUCCACGCCGUAAACGAUGAGUGCUAAGUGUUAGGGGGUUUCCGCCCCUUAGUGCUGCAGCUAACGCAUUAAGCACUCCGCCUGGGGAGUACGGUCGCAAGACUGAAACUCAAAGGAAUUGACGGGGGCCCGCACAAGCGGUGGAGCAUGUGGUUUAAUUCGAAGCAACGCGAAGAACCUUACCAGGUCUUGACAUCCUCUGACAAUCCUAGAGAUAGGACGUCCCCUUCGGGGGCAGAGUGACAGGUGGUGCAUGGUUGUCGUCAGCUCGUGUCGUGAGAUGUUGGGUUAAGUCCCGCAACGAGCGCAACCCUUGAUCUUAGUUGCCAGCAUUCAGUUGGGCACUCUAAGGUGACUGCCGGUGACAAACCGGAGGAAGGUGGGGAUGACGUCAAAUCAUCAUGCCCCUUAUGACCUGGGCUACACACGUGCUACAAUGGACAGAACAAAGGGCAGCGAAACCGCGAGGUUAAGCCAAUCCCACAAAUCUGUUCUCAGUUCGGAUCGCAGUCUGCAACUCGACUGCGUGAAGCUGGAAUCGCUAGUAAUCGCGGAUCAGCAUGCCGCGGGUGAAUACGUUCCCGGGCCUUGUACACACCGCCCGUCACACCACGAGAGUUUGUAACACCCGAAGUCGGUGAGGUAACCUUUUAUGGAGCCAGCCGCCGAAGUGGGACAGAUGAUUGGGGUGA